rnacentral:rRNA from 1 species
AGCUCCAAUAGCGUAUAUUAAAGUUGUUGCAGUUAAAAAGCUCGUAGUUGGAUUUCAAGAACAGCAUUGGUGAAAACCAUAUGCUUUCUACCAGUCUUUGACUGUUACUGUGAGAAAAUUAGAGUGUUUAAAGCAGGCAAUUGCAGGAAUACAUUAGCAUGGAAUAACGAAUGUACUUACAAUUUGGUUGAUUGUAGGUUACGGUUAAUAGGGACAGUUGGGGGCAUUAGUAUUUAAUUGUCAGAGGUGAAAUUCUUGGAUUAGUUAAAGACUAACGUAUGCGAAAGCAUUUGCCAAGGAUGUUUUCA